GGUCAGGUGGUGUAGUUGGUUAUCACGUCAGUCUAACACACUGAAGGUCUCCGGUUCGAACCCGGGCCAGAUCA